rnacentral:SRP_RNA from 1 species
UCGUGCUAGACGGGGAGGUAGCGGUGCCCUGUACCCGCAAUCCGCUGUAGCGGGGUUGAAUGCCUGCCCCCGGGUGUAAUUUGUGAGGCCAGGCUGUUGCAAGGGGUGUUGACGAUUGGGUCUUACGCGACGGAGAUUCUUGAACCGUGUCAGGUCCUGACGGAAGCAGCACUAAGAGAAGCCCUCCGGGUGCCGUGAGGUUGCCUGGUUCGAGCUACCUACAGCAGUAACGCUCGGAAGUUAUUAUCCAAAGGCGGGAUGCACGA